GGGGGACCUUCGGGCCUCUUGCCAUCGGAUGUGCCCAGAUGGGAUUAGCUUGUAGGUGGGGUAACGGCUCACCUAGGCGACCAUCCCUAGCUGGUCUGAGAGGAUGACCAGCCCCCCUGGAACUGAGACACGGUCCAGACUCCUACGGGAGGCAGCAGUGGGGAAUAUUGCACAAUGGGCGCAAGCCUGAUGCAGCCAUGCCGCGUGUAUGAAGAAGGCCUUCGGGUUGUAAAGUACUUUCAGCGGGGAGGAAGGGAGUAAAGUUAAUACCUUUGCUCAUUGACGUUACCCGCAGAAGAAGCACCGGCUAACUCCGUGCCAGCAGCCGCGGUAAUACGGAGGGUGCAAGCGUUAAUCGGAAUUACUGGGCGUAAAGCGCACGCAGGCGGUUUGUUAAGUCAGAUGUGAAAUCCCCGGGCUAUA
rnacentral:rRNA from 1 species